AUAGCAUUUAACUUAUAAAGAGAUAACAGAUAAAGUUAUACUAAAUAAUAAAAAAAAAAUAAUAAUAAUAAUAUAAAACUAGGCUAUAACUCAAAAAUAAAAAAAAAUAUAUAGUUUUCCUCUGUUUUCUUACUCUGCUCACUCAACUGUAAAACUGAGAACACAAUACAAUAUAACAUUAAAACAUCAAUGUUAUGUUUUGACGUACUACACUGCUACUUGCUGAAAAAAUUAGCUAAUUACUGGAAAAGCUAAUCUAUUCUGACUAGAGGUCGGCCGAUAGUGGACUUUGCUGAUAUCAAUAACUAAGGUGGUGAAAAAGGCCAAUAACUGAUUAAUCGGCUGAUAGCCUCUAAAAUCGAUUUAUACAAUGAUUUAUAAAAAUUUUCUUAGUCUUUCCUUACUAUGACAGGCACAGACACAGGGGCUACAAGAGUCAAAAAUAAAUUAAAUCCCAGGUGUAGUUUAUUGUUCAUGAAAAAUCCCAAUAAUAAUCGGAAAAAUUAAGAUUUGGUGCAUGAUGUGGGACUUUUAACUAUAAACAUGCCCAAAACACACAGGGGACUCUUAUUUUGAAAUGGCGGAGACCUGACUUCCUUUAAGUGCUGUAUAUUUAAGUAUGAACCAAAUUAACCUUUUUAUAGCCUAUAUAUUAACCAGAUGAAGGGUUUCGUGUAUAUCCUUUACCAGAUGAAGUUUAAUGAGGAAUAAGGUUUAUUAUUAUUCACAAAACUUAAAGUUCGUAACAAGAUAUAUGUGCUGAUGGGGCACGUAUCCAUAUAGUCAAUUGUUUCGUUCCAUGUCCUUGCGUCAAUUUAGAUACUAUAUUAUCUAUUUAAAAUAACAUAAUAUACAUUGAAGUGAGGAUAAAAAGCAACUAUCGGCCCUGUCCGGAGCCGUGCCAACAGGCUUUCACACAGACGCACGCAUCGGUUGGGUGCUGUUCUGUCCCAAGUGGUGGAGGGGGAGGAGCGCGGUGCUGUACAUUAGUCAAAAGCUCUAUGAGAGUGACGAAAUACAGCACCAUAGAGAAGGAGUGUUUGACCAACAAGUGGGCGGUCUAUUUGUUGGGACAACCAUUCACCCUCUGUUCGGAACACACCCCGCUCCAACGGCUCCACCGCAUGAAGGAUGCCAACACCCGGAUCACCCAUUGGUAUCUGGCACUCCAGCCAUUUAAGUUCGAGGUGGUCCACAGACCGGGGGCACAGAUGGUCGUUGUGGACUUCCUCUUCAGAAAAGGGGGGGAGUGGGCAGUCUGGUCAGUUCCCCCGGCCUGAGUUGGGCAGUGGGGGUAUGUGGAGGUGAUGGCAUAGUUGAGCACCUGUCUGGGGAGAGAGAAAGCGGUAAGGACAUCCACCUGAGAUUAAUUGUGACUAAUUACCAUUUCUAUGUUCACAGUGAGAGUCGGGGGAGAUAAAAGAUGGCCCAGUCCACAGAAAGAGGGAGAGAAACCCAUGAGAGAUUGUGCAUUCUAGAGAGUUUUUUUGAGUGCUGAAAAGCCCCUCUGCUGUUGUAAAGAUGAAAAGUGAUUGAACAAGUAUUAAAAGUUGACUCACAUGGACUGUGAAACCGGCUCCCGCUUCCUCCUUAACCGUCAUACAACGAACUUUGUUACAAUGAGGUUAUACUCUUUUUAGCAGCAUUUAAUCUAUGUUAACUGCCAUUGACAAUCACAUUAUAUAACAUUGCCAUCAUGGGUCUGAAACUGUCACUGUUUAUAUCAGAAAUACAACAUUCAAGGUAAAGAGAAUGUGCUAUUUAUUUGUUUUUUCUCUUUUUUGCACAGUUUUUUAUUUUUCAGCCUUUUUAUUAUUUUUUAAAGGAGAGUAGAGAGGAAAAUAAAUGAGGUAGAGAAUAGGGGGAAAUGGGAUAGGGAAAUGACAUGAGCCAGCAUAUUAAACUUACGUUGCCCGCAUAUGAGCGCAACAGCUCAAUAUGUUAGAACAUAUGCUGUAACUCAGUUAAUCCCAACCAGGUAUACAUGUGUACUCCAGGGGGUACUUGGAAAGGUUUUGAUUUUGCUUUGUUAAACGAUAUGAGACAUGAGAAAAAUAUUAGUGCUGUCAUAACAUUAAAAUAAUUCAAAUCUUUUGACACCAUUACACAUUCAGUUACUUUUUAACAAAAUAAAUCAAAGUAUGUAAAUUUUUUCAAUUGUCAAAAGUGGAACUUUUAGAGACUCUAAACCAGGGGUGGGCAACUAUUUUGGUAAAGGGGCCACAUCGGACUUUAAGUAGUGCAUAGGGGGCCACAUUGUAUUCCUUUUGAGAUGCAAUGUUACGCAUUGAUUAGGUUUUUUGUAUCUUUUAAGGCCAGAAAUAGUUGUGUACACAAUUUUCUGAAGUGUAUAUGUGAAUAAUGGGACUAUUCUGCAAUUGCCUAAAGUACUGUAUUGCUCUACAAAGGUAGAUACUUUUCUAUCAGGCAUUAAUAACUGAAUAAAGGCUGAGCUUAUUAUAAAUGAUUUAUUUUACCAUCUCUACUUCCCUGUUAAUUUGUUAUUCAAUUUAGCACUCUCUACAUCAGGGGUCUGUUUUAAUAAUAAUAAAAAAAACGAAAAUGAUGUCGCAAA